rnacentral:rRNA from 1 species
CCAGACUCCUACGGGAGGCAGCAGUGGGGAAUAUUGGGCAAUGGGCGCAAGCCUGACCCAGCGACGCCGCGUGAGGGAAGACGGUCUUCGGAUUGUAAACCUCUUUCAGCAGGGAAGACAAAAGGACGGUACCUGCAGAAGAAGCCCCGGCUAACUACGUGCCAGCAGCCGCGGUAAUACGUAGGGGGCAAGCGUUAUCCGGAUUUACUGGGUGUAAAGGGAGCGUAGGCGGUUAGAUAAGUCUGAUGUGAAAGCCCACAGCUUAACUGUGGGAUUGCAUUGGAAACUAUAGAACUAGAGUGUCGGAGAGGUAAGUGGAAUUCCUAGUGUAGCGGUGAAAUGCGUAGAUAUUAGGAGGAACACCAGUGGCGAAGGCGGCUUACUGGACGAUGACUGACGCUGAGGCUCGAAAGCGUGGGGAGCAAACAGGAUUAGAUACCCGAGUA